rnacentral:rRNA from 1 species
AGAGUUUGAUCGUGGCUCAGGAUGAACGUUGGCGGUGUGCCUAAUACAUGCAAGUCGAACGGAGAUUGUAGCAAUACGGUCUUAGUGGCGAACGGGUGAGUAACGCGUUGGUGAUCUGCCUCGAAGUGUGGAAUAACGAUUCGAAAGAAUCGCUAAUACCGCAUAGUCUCUCUUUUUCCAGAAAUUUGAGAGUAAAGGAUUUAUUCGCUUUGAGAGGAGCCUGCGUCCCAUCAGCUAGUUGGUAAGGUAAUGGCCUACCAAGGCGAUGACGGGUAGGGGACCUGAGAGGGUGGCCCCCCACAAUGGAACUGAAACACGGUCCAUACACCUACGGGUGGCAGCAGUAGGGAAUAUUAGAAAUGGACGAAAGUCUGAUCUAGCCACACCGCGUGUGCGAAGAAGGCCUUCGGGUUGUAAAGCACUUUUUGGAAGGAUUAGGAAGGAAUGUACUUCCAGAAUAAGUCUCGGCUAACUACGUGCCAGCAGCCGCGGUAACACGUAGGAGGCAAACGUUAUCCGGAUUUACUGGGCAUAAAGCGCGUGUAGGUGGUUCUGUAAGUAGGGCGUGAAAGCUCCUGGCUCAACUGGGAGAGGCCGUUCUAAACUGCAGAGCUAGAGGAUGGUAGAGGGAGGUGGAAUUCCGGGUGUAGCGGUGGAAUGCGCAGAUAUCCGGGAGGAAACACCCAGUGGCGAAAAGCGCCCUCCUGGACCCAUUCCUGACCACUUCAGACCGCGAAAGCUAGGGUAGCAAACGGGAUUAGAGACCCCCGGUAGUCCUAGGCCCUAAACGGAUGUAGACUGGGCGUCGGGUGGCUUAAUCGUCAUUCGGUUGUCGUAGCUAACGCGAUUAUGUCUACCCGCCUGGGGAACUACGGCCGCCAAGGGUUAAAACCUCAAAGGAAUUUGACGGUGUCCCCGCCCAAGCAGCCGGAGGCGUGUGGGUUUAAUUCGUUGCUACACGAAAGAACCUUACCUGGGUUUGACAUAGCAGUGGUAGGAAUACGAAAGUGGACCGACCCUUCGGGGAGCUGUUACAGGUGUUGCAUGGCUGUCGUCAGCUCGUGUCGUGAGAUGUUCGGUUAAGUCCGCUAACGAGCGCAACCCUUGCCGUGUGUUACAAGUGUCACACGGGACCGCCGGUAUUAAGUCGGAGGAAGGUGAGGAUGACGUCAAGUCAGCAUGACCUUUAUAUCCAGGGCUACACACACGCUACAAUGGUCAGUACAAUAGGUUGCCAAGCCGCGAGGCGGAGCCAAUCCUAAAAAGCUGGCCUCAGUUCAGAUUGCAGGCUGCAACUCGCCUGCAUGAAGUUGGAGUUGCUAGUAACCGCAGGACAGCUAUACUGCGGUGAAUACGUUCCCGGGGAUUGUACACACCGCCCGUCAAGUCAUGGGAGCUGGCAACACCUGAAGCCGGUAUCCUAACCCGCAAGGGAGGGAGCUGUCAAAGGUGGGGUCGGUGACUGGGACUAAGUCGUAACAAGGUACCCGU